GUAGUCCACGCCGUAAACGAUGGAUACUAGCUGUUGGGCGCAAGUUCAGUGGCUAAGCGAAAGUGAUAAGUAUCCCACCUGGGGAGUACGUUCGCAAGAAUGAAACUCAAAGGAAUUGACGGGGGCCCGCACAAGCGGUGGAGCAUGUGGUUUAAUUCGAUGAUACGCGAGGAACCUUACCAAGGCUUAAAUGUGGUCUGACCGGCGUGGAAACAUGCCUUUCGCAAGACAGAUCACAAGGUGCUGCAUGGUUGUCGUCAGCUCGUGCCGUGAGGUGUCAGGUUAAGUCCUAUAACGAGCGCAACCCCUGUUGUUAGUUGCCAGCGAGUCAUGUCGGGAACUCUAACAAGACUGCCAGUGCAAACUGUGA
rnacentral:rRNA from 1 species